GGACUACUGGGGUAUCUAAUCCUGUUCGCUCCCCACGCUUUCGCUCCUCAGUGUCAGGUAAGGCCCAGAGAACCGCCUUCGCCACCGGUGUUCCUCCCGAUAUCUGCGCAUUUCACCGCUACACCGGGAAUUCCAUUCUCCCCUACCUACCUCUAGUUCACCCGUAUCCGCAGCAAGUCCAGGGUUGAGCCCUGGAAUUUCACAACAGACGUGGCGAACCACCUACGAGCUCUUUACGCCCAAUAAUUCCGGACAACGCUUGCGCCCUACGUGUUACCGCGGCUGCUGGCAC
rnacentral:rRNA from 1 species